UUGAACGCUGGCGGCAUGCCUUACACAUGCAAGUCGAACGGCAGCAUGAUCUAGCUUGCUAGAUUGAUGGCGAGUGGCGAACGGGUGAGUAAUACAUCGGAACGUGCCCUGUAGUGGGGGAUAACUAGUCGAAAGAUUAGCUAAUACCGCAUACGACCUGCGGGUGAAAGUGGGGGACCGCAAGGCCUCAUGCUAUAGGAGCGGCCGAUGUCUGAUUAGCUAGUUGGUGAGGUAAAGGCUCACCAAGGCGACGAUCAGUAGCUGGUCUGAGAGGACGAUCAGCCACACUGGGACUGAGACACGGCCCAGACUCCUACGGGAGGCAGCAGUGGGGAAUUUUGGACAAUGGGCGAAAGCCUGAUCCAGCAAUGCCGCGUGUGUGAAGAAGGCCUUCGGGUUGUAAAGCACUUUUGUCCGGAAAGAAAUGGCUCUGGUUAAUACCUGGGGUCGAUGACGGUACCGGAAGAAUAAGGACCGGCUAACUACGUG
rnacentral:rRNA from 1 species